UUUUGAAAUUAUUGUAACCUGACAAAUUGACAAUAGAAGAAAUAUGCUUGAUUCAUAACAAGUAUCCUUUAUAUCACAUUUGGAAUUCUUUGUCACAAAUGAAUCUUAUCAGUUCUUAUGUAAUUAUCUACUAUAUAAGUCUUGAGAUAUCUGUUCCUGAUAAUUUGGGUCGUGUCAUAUCCCUUAGACUUCAUUACACUGGUAUGUGGAUGGGAUGCUCUUGUUUGCACACUCCUGAUAUUAGAUGUAGCAUCUUUAUAAUUUCGUUUAUGUUGUUUUUGUUUAACGUUUGUUCUCGGUAUAUUUGGAUGGAAGCCUCCAAAGCUGACUCUGUUAUUGUAUAAUUUAGUCUGAGAGUUGUGAAGUAUUUAUUUGUGCAUAAGGUAUGGCAGACGAAUUCAACAUUAUCAGUGUGUAAUAGAUAGCACACUGAUAA